rnacentral:tRNA from 1 species
UUCCGCCGGAGGACCGCGUCGGGCCGGCGGGGCUCGAACCCACGCCCGGAACCGGGCCGGCGGGGUUCGAACCCGCGACCGGAACC